rnacentral:rRNA from 1 species
GACGAACGCUGGCGGCGUGCCUAAUACAUGCAAGUAGGACGCAGUUGCGAACGGGUGAGUAACGCGUAGGUAACUACCUAGUAGAGGGGGAUAAAUAUUGGAAACGAUAGCUAAUACCGCCUACUAGUAAGUGGACCUGCGGUGUAUUAGCUAGUAGGUAGGGUAAUGGCCUACCUAGGCAACGAUACAUAGCCGACCUGGGGAGGUGAGCGGCCACGCUGGGACUGGGACAAGGCCCAGACUCCCACGGGAGGGAGCCAGAGGGGAUCUUCGGAAAUGGGGGGAACCCUGACCGAGCCACGGCGGGUGGGUGAAGAAGGUUUUCGGAUCGUAAAGCUCUUUUGUGAAGGAAGCGGUACUUAACCAGGAAGGGACGGCUAACUACGUGCCAGCAGCCGCGGUAAUUC